GGGUUUUUGAAAGAUCUCUAUUUCAUCAACUCGUAUCAGAUAGCCAAAAAUUAAAAACGCUCUUUAAAAACCCAUUAGAUCUUUUGUAGUUCUAGUGGAUCCUGUCAGGAGCGACAUGC